rnacentral:rRNA from 1 species
UGGCUAUAGGAAAUUGUUAGUGGCAGACGGGUGAGUAAUGCGUAGGAAUCUACCUAGUAGUACGGAAUAGCCAUUAGAAAUGGUGGGUAAUACUGUAUAAUCCCCGAGGGGGAAAGAUUUAUCGCUAUUAGAUGAGCCUACGUUAGAUUAGCUAGUUGGUGAGGUAAUGGCUUACCAAGGCUAUGAUCUAUAGCUGGUCUGAGAGGACGAUCAGCCACACUGGAACUGAGAUACGGUCCAGACUCCUACGGGAGGCAGCAGUGGGGAAUAUUGGACAAUGGGCGAAAGCCUGAUCCAGCUAUGCCGCGUGAGUGAAGAAGGCCUUCGGGUUGUAAAACUCUUUCAAUAGGGAAGAUA